rnacentral:rRNA from 1 species
GUGCGAGAUGAGUAUUCUGAGGCGCGCGAGAUAACUUUCGUUAAGGAACUCGGCAAAUUAUCCCCGUAACUUCGGAAGAAGGGGAGCCUCUUAGGGUGAUUGCCUUUACGGCAUGAGCUCCGGGGGGCCGCAGAGAAAUGGCCCAGGCGACUGUUUAACAAAAACACAGCACUAUGCAAACCUCUAAGGGGAAGUAUAUGGUGUGACGCCUGCCCAAUGCCAAAAGGUUAAAGGGAUAUGUCAGCCGCAAGGCAAAGCAUUGAACCCAAGCCCUGGUGAAUGGCCGCCGUAACUAUAACGGUGCUAAGGUAGCGAAAUUCCUUGUCGGGUAAGUUCCGACCUGCACGAAUGGUGUAACGAUCUGGGCACUGUCUCAACGAAAGACUCGGUGAAAUUGUAGUAGCAGUGAAGAUGCUGUUUACCCGCAAAAGGACGAAAAGACCCCGUGAACCUUUACUGUACUUUGGUAUUGAUUCUUGAUUUGUUAUGUGUAGCAUAGCCAGGAGACUGAGAACACUCUUCGUCAGGAGAGUGGGAGUCAUCGUUGAAAUACUGGUCUUAACAAGUUGGGAAUCUAACAUAAUUCCAUGAAUCUGGAAUAUGGACAUUGCCAGACGGGCAGUUUUACUGGGGCGGUAUCCUCCUAAAAAGUAACGGAGGAGCCCAAAGCUUAUUUCAUCGUGGUUGGCAAUCACGAGUAGAGCGUAAAGGUAUAAAAUAGGUUGACUGCAAGACCUACAAGUCAAGCAGAGACGAAAGUCGGGCUUAGUGAUCCGGCGGUGGAAAGUGGAAUCGCCGUCGCUUAACGGAUAAAAGGUACUCCGGGGAUAACAGGCUGAUCGCCACCAAGAGUUCAUAUCGACGUGGCGGUUUGGCACCUCGAUGUCGGCUCAUCGCAUCCUGGGGCUGGAGAAGGUCCCAAGGGUUUGGCUGUUCGCCAAUUAAAGCGGUACGCGAGCUGGGUUCAAAACGUCGUGAGACAGUUUGGUCUCUAUCCUUUGUGGGCGCAGGAUACUUGAAAGGAGCUGUUCCUAGUACGAGAGGACCGGAAUGGACGAACCAAUGGUGUGUCGGUUGUUUUGCCAAAAGCAUAGCCGAGUAGCUACGUUCGGAAAGGAUAAGCAUUGAAAGCAUCUAAAUGCCAAGCCUCCCUUAAGAUAAGGUAUCCCUAUGAGACUCCAUAUAGACUAUGUGGUUGAUAGGUUGGGUGUGUACGCACAGUAAUGUGUUUAGCUAACCAAUACUAAUAAGUCCAUUGACUUGGUUU